rnacentral:rRNA from 1 species
GAUGAACGCUGGCGGCGUGCCUAAUACAUGCAAGUCGAGCGAACAGACGAGGAGCUUGCUCCUCUGACGUUAGCGGCGGACGGGUGAGUAACACGUGGAUAACCUACCUAUAAGACUGGGAUAACUUCGGGAAACCGGAGCUAAUACCGGAUAAUAUAUUGAACCGCAUGGUUCAAUAGUGAAAGACGGUUUUGCUGUCACUUAUAGAUGGAUCCGCGCCGCAUUAGCUAGUUGGUAAGGUAACGGCUUACCAAGGCAACGAUGCGUAGCCGACCUGAGAGGAUGAUCGGCCACACUGGAACUGAGACACGGUCCAGACUCCUACGGGAGGCAGCAGUAGGGAAUCUUCGGCAAUGGGCGAAAGCCUGACGGAGCAACGCCGCGUGAGUGAUGAAGGUCUUCGGAUCGUAAAACUCUUUUAUUAGGGAAGAACAACUGUGUAAGUAUAUAUGGACGUUCUGACGGUACCUAAACAGAAAGCACCGGCUAACUUCGUG